rnacentral:rRNA from 1 species
UACGUAGGGGGCAAGCGUUGUCCGGAUUUAUUGGGCGUAAAGAGCGUGUAGGCGGUUUGGUAGGUCCGCUGUGAAAACUCGAGGCUCAACCUCGAGACGCCGGUGGAAACCAUCAGACUAGAGUCCGGAAGAGGAGAGUGGAAUUCCUGGUGUAGCGGUGAAAUGCGCAGAUAUCGGAAGGAACACCGGUGGCGAAAGCGGCGCGCUGGAUCCCUACUGACGCUGAGGCACGAAAGCCAGGGGAGCAAACGGG